rnacentral:rRNA from 1 species
CCUACGGGUGGCUGCAGUGGGGAAUAUUGCACAAUGGGGGAAACCCUGAUGCAGCGACGCCGCGUGAGUGAAGAAGUAUCUCGGUAUGUAAAGCUCUAUCAGCAGGGAAGAUAAUGACGGUACCUGACCAAGAAGCCCCGGCUAACUACGUGCCAGCAGCCGCGGUAAUACGUAGGGGGCAAGCGUUAUCCGGAUUUACUGGGUGUAAAGGGAGCGUAGACGGGAGCACAAAUCUGGAGUGAAAUCCCGGGGCUUAACCCCGGAACUGCUUUGGAAACUGUGCGGCUGGAGUGCAGGAGGGGUAAGCGGAAUUCCUGGUGUAGCGGUGAAAUGCGUAGAUAUUAGGAGGAACACCGGUGGCGAAGGCGGCCUGCUGGACUGUGACUGACGUUGAGGCCCGAAGGCGUGGGGAGCAAACAGGAUUAGAUACCCCGGUAGUC